UACAGAGGUGGCAAGCGUUGUUCGGAUUUAUUGGGCGUAAAGGGUCCGUAGGCGGAUCAGAAAGUUGGAUGUGAAAUCCUACAGCUUAACUGUGGAACUGCAUUCAAAACUUCUGGUCUAGAGUGUGAGAGGGGUGAAGGGAAUUCCCGGUGUAAGGGUGAAAUCUGCAGAGAUCGGGAAGAACACCAGUCGCGAAGGCGCUUCACUGGCUCACAACUGACGCUGAGGGACGAAAGCUAGGGGAGCAAACGGG
rnacentral:rRNA from 1 species